GGCAGCAGCCUGUUUGCUCCAGGUGGAGAUGAUUAAAUGAAUUGUUUGGAGGUACUCUCUAACACAUGAGCUGCUGAGAAUGUGUGAGAGAGGUGCUGGAAAAUGGACACUGCAGGAUUGAGAAAGCUUGUUUCAAGGAAAGGAAGGAGCUGAUGUCUCUUGAGCCCUGGAGAUGAGAGGACACAGGUGCGACAGGUUGUCAUCAACUGAGGAUGUAUAAAAGGUGGAGGCUGCCAACACUUCUUCACCUAUGUGUUUUACCAAUUGUGGUUAAAGGUGCAGAUCCAAGCCAUAGUCAAGUCCAGGCGGAAACCUCGUCAAGAUCUAAUCAAGUUUCAUGUUCAAGUUUCAUGUUCAAGAAAGAUCCUCAGGUUAAGCUCCAGCUGGUGGCCUCCACUCAGGGACCUCCUCGAACCAUGCUGAGCGAAUCCUGUCCUCCCUCCAACGUGUUCCGUCUCCAGCUCCCUCUCUAUUGGCAUCUCCGGCUCGCUCUAAGCUGCGGCACGCCCACCCCCUCGGGCUAAGUUCCGUGCAAACCUUUGGAAUCCUCCCGGACUCCCCCUUCAUCUUCAAUCCCCGGCAGCUCCUUCCUUCCUCACCAUCGUGUGGCCCAGCCCUGGUGCCGACUGCUGUCUGAUUCCAGUGGAAGGGAAAUAAACUUUUAAGAGCUUG